UUAAAUAACCGAUCUUAAAAGUACUUUUAAGAUCGGUUAUAUUUUAACCGAUCUUAAAAGUGCUACUUUUAAAAUCGGUUAUUUAA
rnacentral:miRNA from 1 species